rnacentral:lncRNA from 1 species
AAAGAUAAUUACCUAAAUAAACUUCUCCAUUUCUGCCAAACUAAACCAGUUAAUGCUUUGACUUUAGUGGCAUUUAUUUCUGCACUUAUUGUUGAAGUUUACUGACCUAAUAACUGAGACUGGUUGUGUCAACAGCAGAAAUGCCUAUCACACCCCCGCUGCCCUUUGUCUUCAUUACUGCUCUUCAGUAUAUGAACAGAAACAGCCGUAGCUCCUCAGUAUUAGUGAGUGAAUUUUAAAAAAAAUCCUUUUAAUGCGUAAAGUAAAACCUGCAAUUGAUGCUAUAGUUUAAAAACAUGCAAGCAUCGGGAUUUAAAUCCCUCUAUUUUAGCAAAUGGACAAGCGACAGUUCUCUGGAGCAGAAGCCCACAUAACUCUGAGUGCCUUCAUUUGCUGGCACUUGUGCUGAUUUCAGUAGGCCUACAUCACUUCCUAUUAGAGAAUGUAACCCCACACUAAGAAAAAUCAGAAAAUUAUUUCAUAUUUUUAAGAUCAGCCAUCCAUCCAGUGAACGGGGACACUGUCAGACUGGCAGCCUACAGAGCCCUGAGGCUGGCUGUGGUUUCAGGACUCCCAGCCGCAGGUGAGCUGUGGGAUGCUGGGAGUAGCAGCAGCCACAACUUAACUCCCUGCCAAAGUGUAGAAAAGAUGCUUAAAAAUUCUCGCAGCCUCACCUGAGCUUCUGGAAGGGAACAGUAAUAGAGGUGUGGUCAGCAUGGGCUUCUUGUGGCUUAGGGAAGCCAGCUGGUGGGAGACCCUGAGAAAAGCUGCCUGAGUAAGCUGCUCCUGAGCAGGAGGAAGGCAGAAGGACCCAGCCUUAGACAAAGCAGAGACACAAAAUGCUCGGCCCCAGGGUGACAUAGCUGUGCUCUGAAGAAAAACUUUGUCCCUGCUGUGCUGGUGGCUGCAGCUGCUCUAGGGUCUGAAGUCAGGAGACGCAGAUCCUCGGGGCGUCCUGGCACUGCUCUGGGAGCAGCUCCAUCCAUUCUCACCUCCCAGUCUGCGUCUCUCCAUGGCUGUGUAGCCUGCUCUGCAAACACCAGCACUAAGCGAGGCAUUGGCAGGCACAGAGCUGUCAGCAUAAGAUCACGACUGACACGGUGACUUCUAGUUAACGAGCAUUCCCUUCUCUGUGUGCCAGUUGAGUUUCUUUGCAUCAGGAGACUGCAAGGUGGAGAAAGAUAUAAGGCAGCUGAUAAUGAUGCAGGGAACUCCUCUUCCAAAGCAGCAGCUCCUGUCUUAGGGCUUGUGAAGCUGCAGUGGAACUUUGCUGUCUGUGUCUGGGACAGGAGGAAAGCUGUGAGCUCCA